CUAAAUACCUAUUUUACCACUAAUACUAUAAAAUAUGAGUAAAGAAUAUAUAGUAAAUGGUAAAUUCCUGUGAAAAAAAACCCUAAAGGCCUAAUUGCCUAAAGAACUACGGGUAGUAAACUCAUCCCUCUUCGGCUCUUCCUUCUAGUCGCCGCCGGUUGCCGGUGCUUUCUUCCCUCUAGUCGCCGCUGCUAGAAGAAAUCAGAAGAGCCUCAAGAGAUCAUCCUCAAAGUUUACAUGCAUUGCGAGGCUUGUGCAAGGAAGAUUGUCAAAGCCCUCAAAGGAUUUGACGGGGUUGAGGAAGUGGUGACAGACUACAAGUGUGAUAAGGUGGUAGUAAAGGGAAAGACAACUGCCCUUCUUAAAUUGUAAGGACUCUGAUCAUUUUUUUCUGUUUCUCCACAUCAUACUUGUAGACCUUGGGACUUGAGAUUUGUACCGAUACCAUGGUUGGAGAUCAAACGUUGAGAGGUAUAUCCGGAGGACAAAGAAAGCGUGUCACAAGACUCACAACAGGGGAGAUGCUGGUUGGACCAACAAGGGCACUUUUCAUGCAUGAGAUAUCAACCGGUUCGGACAGUUCAACAACUUUUCAAAUUCUGACUUCACUUAGGCAAUACAUUCACAUUUUAAAUGGGACAUUCAACGGUUAAAAAUAAUGUAAUUCUUGUAACUUAGAUUAUAUUUUA